AUUGAACGCUGGCGGCAGGCCUAACACAUGCAAGUCGAACGAGUGGCGGACGGGUGAGUAAUGUCUGGGAAACUGCCUGAUGGAGGGAGAUAACUACGAUAAACGGUAGCUAAUACCGCAUACCAUCAGAUGUGCCCAGAUGGGAUUAGCUUGGUGGUGGGGUAACGGCUCACCAAGGCGACGCUCCCUAGCUGGCCUGAGAGGAUGACCAGCCAAACUGGAACUGAGACACGGUCCAGACUCCUACGGGAGGCAGCAGUGGGGAAUAUUGCACAAUGGGCGCAAGCCUGAUGGAGCCAUGCCGCGUGUAUGAAGAAGGCCUUCGGGUUGUAAAGCACUGUCAGCGGGGAGGCGUUAUCUGCAGAAGAAGCCCCGGCUAACUCCGUGCCAGCAGCCGCGGUAAUUC
rnacentral:rRNA from 1 species